rnacentral:misc_RNA from 1 species
GAUGAAGAACGCAGCGAAAUGCGAUACGUAAUGUGAAUUGCAGAAUUCAGUGAAUCAUCGAGUCUUUGAACGCACAUUGCGCCCCCUGGUAUUCCGGGGGGCAUGCCUGUUCGAGCGUCAUUUCAACCCUCGGGCCCCGCAUUCGUGCGGGCCCCGGCGUUGGGGACCGGCCUCCGCAUCGGACGGCCGCCCCCGAAACCCAGUGGCGGUCCCGCCGCGGCCUUCUCUGCGUAGUAGCAUACACCUCGCACUGGAGAGCGGCGCGGCCACGCCGUAAAAGAAACGAACUUUCUGAAGGUUGACCUCGGAUCAGGUAGGAAUACCCGCUGAACUUAAGCAUAUCAAUAAGCGGAGGA